rnacentral:rRNA from 1 species
CAUUCACGGAGAGUUUGAUCCUGGCUCAGGACGAACGCUGGCGGCGUGCUUAACACAUGCAAGUCGAACGAUGAACCGCUUUCGGGCGGGGAUUAGUGGCGAACGGGUGAGUAACACGUGGGCAAUCUGCCCUGCACUCUGGGACAAGCCCUGGAAACGGGGUCUAAUACCGGAUAUGACCGUCUGCCGCAUGGUGGAUGGUG